GAUGAACGCUGGCGGCGUGCCUAAUACAUGCAAGUCGAGCGAACGGACGAGAAGCUUGCUUCUCUGAUGUUAGCGGCGGACGGGUGAGUAACACGUGGAUAACCUACCUAUAAGACUGGGAUAACUUCGGGAAACCGGAGCUAAUACCGGAUAAUAUUUUGAACCGCAUGGUUCAAAAGUGAAAGACGGUCUUGCUGUCACUUAUAGAUGGAUCCGCGCUGCAUUAGCUAGUUGGUAAGGUAACGGCUUACCAAGGCAACGAUGCAUAGCCGACCUGAGAGGGUGAUCGGCCACACUGGAACUGAGACACGGUCCAGACUCCUACGGGAGGCAGCAGUAGGGAAUCUUCCGCAAUGGGCGAAAGCCUGACGGAGCAACGCCGCGUGAGUGAUGAAGGUCUUCGGAUCGUAAAACUCUGUUAUUAGGGAAGAACAUAUGUGUAAGUAACUGUGCACAUCUUGACGGUACCUAAUCAGAAAGCCACGGCUAACUACGUGCCAGCAGCCGCGGUUAUACGUAGGUGGCAAGCGUUAUCGGAAAUAUUGGGCGUAAAGCGCGCGUAGGCGGUUUUUUAGUCUGAUGUGAAAGCCCACGGCUCAUUCGUGGAGGGUCAUUGGAAACUGGAAAACUUGAGUGCAGAAGAGGAAAGUGGAAUUCCAUGUGUAGCGGUGAAAUGCGCAGAGAUAUGGAGGAACACCAGUGGCGAAGGCGACUUUCUGGUCUGUAACUGACGCUGAUGUGCGAAAGCGUGGGGAUCAAACAGGAUUAGAUACCCUGGUAGUCCACGCCGUAAACGAUGAGUGCUAAGUGUUAGGGGGUUUCCGCCCCUUAGUGCUGCAGCUAACGCAUUAAGCACUCCGCCUGGGGAGUACGACCGCAAGGUUGAAACUCAAAGGAAUUGACGGGGACCCGCACAAGCGGUGGAGCAUGUGGUUUAAUUCGAAGCAACGCGAAGAACCUUACCAAAUCUUGACAUCCUUUGACAACUCUAGAGAUAGAGCCUUCCCCUUCGGGGGACAAAGUGACAGGUGGUGCAUGGUUGUCGUCAGCUCGUGUCGUGAGAUGUUGGGUUAAGUCCCGCAACGAGCGCAACCCUUAAGCUUAGUUGCCAUCAUUAAGUUGGGCACUCUAAGUUGACUGCCGGUGACAAACCGGAGGAAGGUGGGGAUGACGUCAAAUCAUCAUGCCCCUUAUGAUUUGGGCUACACACGUGCUACAAUGGACAAUACAAAGGGCAGCGAAACCGCGAGGUCAAGCAAAUCCCAUAAAGUUGUUCUCAGUUCGGAUUGUAGUCUGCAACUCGACUACAUGAAGCUGGAAUCGCUAGUAAUCGUAGAUCAGCAUGCUACGGUGAAUACGUUCCCGGGUCU
rnacentral:rRNA from 1 species